UACGUAGGGUGCAAGCGUUGUCCGGAAUUAUUGGGCGUAAAGAGCUCGUAGGCGGUCUGUCGCGUCUGCUGUGAAAACUCAGGGCUUAACCCUGAGCUUGCAGUGGGUACGGGCAGACUAGAGUGCGGUAGGGGAGACUGGAAUUCCUGGUGUAGCGGUGAAAUGCGCAGAUAUCAGGAGGAACACCGGUGGCGAAGGCGGGUCUCUGGGCCAUAACUGACGCUGAGGAGCGAAAGCAUGGGGAGCGAACAGG
rnacentral:rRNA from 1 species